AGCUCCAAUAGCGUAUAUUAAAGUUGUUGCAGUUAAAAAGCUCGUAGUUGGAUCUCGGGUCCAGGCUCGCGGUUCGCCUCGCGGCGAUCACUGCCCGUCCUGACCUACCUCCCGGUUUUCCCUUGGUGCUCUUCGUUGAGUGCUUCGGGUGGCCGGAACGUUUACUUUGAAAAAAUUAGAGUGCUCAAAGCAGGCGGACCGCCUGAAUAGUCGUGCAUGGAAUAAUGGAAUAGGACCUCGGUUCUAUUUUGUUGGUUUUCGGAACUCGAGGUAAUGAUUAAGAGGGACAGACGGGGGCAUUCGUAUUACGGUGUUAGAGGUGAAAUUCUUGGAUCGCCGUAAGACGAACUACUGCGAAAGCAUUUGCCAAGAAUGUUUUCA
rnacentral:rRNA from 1 species